AUGAUAAUCUUUCAUUGCAUUGCUUUUAUUAAAUGAACGCUUCAAAUACAUAUAAUAAUUUUAUUGGACACUCAUGAUAUAUUAAUUGUUAACCACAUCAUGGUAACAAAAACAUGAUUUAUUCUAUUUUUAUUCUCAACAACAUGAUAUGCAUAAAAACGGAAACUCGGCUUGGCAAUUGCAACAUUUGAAGUUUUUGCAUAAUCCAAAGCAACCUGAAAUUGUCAAAACAAAUAUUCUUCAUUUAUCAAAAAAUUAAAACUUUAUCAUAAAGACUCUUCAAUAAUAAUAAUAAUAAUAAUAAUAAUAAAAAGGUAAAGAAAUCCUUAAACUAAGUUACCUGAAACAGACACACGAGUGCUACGACUCGCAGUAGACAUUUUUAAUGACAUUAUCGGUGAUGUUGCUUCUGGUGCAAAUGAUAGUUCUGGUGCAUAUACUGGUUCCAAUGUUGCUAGAGUUAAUGGAGAAAAAAGAACAAAGAGGACAAUAAUGAUGUAUCCCAUAAAAUUAGUUGAUUUUGCCAUCUUAAACAACUAUUUAUUUUGCUUGUGAGUAUUUUUU
rnacentral:lncRNA from 1 species